AAGUCGUAACAAGGUUUCCGUAGGUGAACCUGCGGAAGGAUCAUUACUGAGAGAAGGGGCUUCGCGCUCCCGGGGGUCUUGGCCCCCAACUCUUCACCCAUUGUUCAUCUACCUCUGUUGCUUUGGCGGGUCCUUGGGGGUUGCCUGGCCCCUGCGCCCGGCUUUCGGGCGUUGGGUGAGGCGCUCGUCAGUGGCCCAUUAAAUUCCGUUUAUUCAGUAUUAUCAGAUCAAAAACACAAUAGUAAAAA
rnacentral:misc_RNA from 1 species